AGCUUUGCACAGUGGCAGUAUCUUAGCUGAUGAGGUUUGUCCGAGGCACGAUUAUUGCUAAUUGAAGUUUGCUUUGUCAGUU
ensembl:snRNA U4 U4 spliceosomal RNA